CCUACGGGCGGCAGCAGUGGGGAAUAUUGCACAAUGGGGGAAACCCUGAUGCAGCGACGCCGCGUGAGUGAGGAAGUAAUUCGUUAUGUAAAGCUCUAUCAGCAGGGAAGAAAAUGACGGUACCUGAGUAAGAAGCCCCGGCUAACUACGUGCCAGCAGCCGCGGUAAUACGUAGGGGGCAAGCGUUAUCCGGAUUUACUGGGUGUAAAGGGAGCGUAGACGGAAGUGCAAGUCUGGAGUGAAAGGCGGGGGCUCAACCCCCGGACUGCUCUGGAAACUGUACGGCUGGAGUGCAGGAGAGGUAAGUGGAAUUCCUAGUGUAGCGGUGAAAUGCGUAGAUAUCACGAAGAACUCCGAUUGCGAAGGCAGUUCACUGGACUGCAACUGACACUGAUGCGCGAAAGCGUGGGGAGCAAACAGGAUUAGAUACCCCAGUAGUC
rnacentral:rRNA from 1 species